rnacentral:rRNA from 1 species
GAUGAACGCUGGCGGCGUGCCUAAUACAUGCAAGUCGAGCGAACAGAUGAGGAGCUUGCUCCUCUGACGUUAGCGGCGGACGGGUGAGUAACACGUGGAUAACCUACCUAUAAGACUGGGAUAACUUCGGGAAACCGGAGCUAAUACCGGAUAAUAUAUUGAACCGCAUGGUUCAAUAGUGAAAGACGGUUUUGCUGUCACUUAUAGAUGGAUCCGCGUCGCAUUAGCUAGUUGGUAAGGGAACGGCUUACCAAGGCGACGAUGCGUAGCCGACCUGAGAGGAUGAUAGGCCACACUGGAACUGAGACAGGGUCCAGACUCCGACGGGAGGCAGCAGUGGGGAAUAUUGGACAAUGGGCGCAAGUCUGAUACAGCCAUACCGCGUGGGUGAAGAAGGUCUUCGGGUCGGAAAGCCCUUUUGUUGGGAAAGAAAAGCAGCAGGUGAAUACCCCGCUGUUCUGACGGUACCCAAAGAAUAAGCACCGGCUAACUUCGUG